GUGGAAGAAAGUCAGGCUCCUCUGUCUUCGUAUUUGACCUUGGUACAGUUCCAAAUAACACCAAAGCUGUUAUCAGAUACACAUUAACCCUGAUAUAUGGAUAAUUUAGAUGAUUUAUUAUGCUUAUGGCUCACUUGUAUUCCACCUCUCUCCAUCUCCUCCAAACCCAAUCAUGGUAUCUGUGUGGAGAAAAAUCAAUGGAUUUCUGCGCUGGUAAUUAGUUUGGGCCACAAAGAGUUGUGACAAUCCUGAGCCUGGACACGCCUGUCAAUACCGACUGCAGAGACUGGAAAGAGGAGCCAGCACCAUAUCUUCUUCCUUCCCCUGAAGAGGAGCAUAAAACCCGGGAAUUGACUAUAUCAUCAACUAUUGUGAAAUAAGGACUUCCUACAGACUUGCAAGGAAGGACUCAAAGCUCACAAUGUGACCUUGAAGAAGCCAG